rnacentral:rRNA from 1 species
CAGCAGUGGGGAAUAUUGGACAAUGGGCGAAAGCCUGAUCCAGCCAUGCCGCGUGUGUGAAGAAGGUCUUCGGAUUGUAAAGCACUUUAAGUUGGGAGGAAGGGCAGUAAGUUAAUACCUUGCUGUUUUGACGUUACCGACAGAAUAAGCACCGGCUAACUCUGUGCCAGCAGCCGCGGUAAUACAGAGGGUGCAAGCGUUAAUCGGAAUUACUGGGCGUAAAGCGCGCGUAGGUGGUUUGUUAAGUUGGAUGUGAAAGCCCCGGGCUCAACCUGGGAACUGCAUCCAAAACUGGCAAGCUAGAGUACGGUAGAGGGUGGUGGAAUUUCCUGUGUAGCGGUGAAAUGCGUAGAUAUAGGAAGGAACACCAGUGGCGAAGGCGACCACCUGGACUGAUACUGACACUGAGGUGCGAAAGCGUGGGGAGCAAACAGGAUUAGA